UCCGCCUUGACGGCGGCAGUCUCGCCAGAGUGCCCAACUUAAUGCUGGCAACUAGCGACAGGGGUUGCGCUCGUUAAUGGACUUAACCAAACACUUCACAGCACGAGCUGACGACAGCCAUGCAGCACCUGUGCACGUUGUACCCUUGCGGGCCUCGCUCCUGUUUCCAGGAGUUAAUCCGUGCAUGUCAAACCCAGGUAAGGUUCUUCGCGUUGCUUCGAAUUAAGCAACAUGCUCCACCGCUUGUGUGAGCCCCCGUCAAUUUCUUUGAGUUUUAGCCUUGCGACCGUACUCCCCAGGCGGCACACUUAGCAAUUUCUCUACGACCAAUACGGGGUGAAACCCGCACCGAUCCAGUGUGCAUCGUUUAGGGCGUGGACCAC
rnacentral:misc_RNA from 1 species